UGUGAUAAAGGACACUCCUCUGAGGUGUGAUAAAGGACACUCCUCUGAGGUGUGAUAAAGGACACUUCUCUGAGGUGUGAUAAAGGACACUUCUCUGAGGUGUGAUAAAGGACACUUCUCUGAGGUGUGAUAAGGGAC